rnacentral:rRNA from 1 species
UACGUAGGGUGCAAGCGUUAAUCGGAAUUACUGGGCGUAAAGGGUGCGCAGGCGGGGUGUUAAGUUGGAAGUGAAAUCUACGGGCUCAACCCGUAACUGGCUUCCAAAACUGACAUUCUUGAGUGUGGGAGAGGAGACUGGAAUUCCUAGUGUAGGAGUGAAAUCUGUAGAUAUUAGGAAGAACACCAAUGGCGAAGGCAAGUCUCUGGCCUAACACUGACGCUGAGGCACGAAAGCGUGGGGAGCGAACAGG